CUGUACACCAAUAAGAAUAAUUAUGUUUUUAGAUGUCAUAUUAGUAGUAAGUAUGUAUAUUCUAGGAUAUCACCAGUCGUUGACAAAUGUUAAAAACUCCUCCGUGUGAGAUCCUCUCUGCAUUGUCUUAUUUUUUUAAAUCGUUCCGUCCACAUUUUGUUUCUUUCUUUAUUAUUCAAUGUUUUGUCGUUUGGUUGGACGGUUGGUUGUUUGGAUGGUUGGAUGGCUGCUUAGUUGGUUGACUGGCUGCUGUGCUGCUUUCUAACUUAUUUGAGUAGUUCGUUGCAUUGCUUGCUUGAUUACAUAUUUGCUUAUUGUUAUUUGUAUGUAUCCUAUUUCUAUUCAUCAUAUCACGAUGUCCUGCUGAUAUUUUAAUCUGAUUGAUGUAAAUUAGACUGCUAGGUUCUGCUGAGACACCACCACUUUACCGCUCUCGGCAAUGAGAAGCAUCGUCACAAUGUUUAUCAUGGCAACUUUGGACAUGGAGAACACAUGCAGACGUUCCUGGUUGAGCAUGUCCAGUUUACUCCAAGAACAUGAACAGACUACACUACAUACAGGACAUUGGCAGGGUGAUGGUUGUGAAAGUGAUAGGUUUGACCCGAGGAUAUAAUCACCCAAUAUGACUACACAGAAACAGCAACUAUACCAAAAAUACAGCCUAUAGCAAUGUUGGUCACAUGGGCUGCUUGCGAUACUUGUGACUAUAGUAGGAUCUAUACAACCCUAAUUUUUCCGCUUCAGAAAUCACUAGUUUAUUAUUUAUAUGUGUCCACUUGUAAAAUAAAAUAGGAACACUAUCGACAUGAAUACGUGGUGCUAAAACCAAGUUGUUUCAGAUUCUAUUCAAUAUUUGCGUUUUGUAUAGUUACGUAUGAGGGUUAAAAUCCCCUUUUGUCCCCUGUCUGGCUAAAUAAAGGCAACAAAACAGUGUCAAUGAAGAAUGACAAAACAUGUAAAGUGACAUGAGCCAAACUUCCAUAAUGAAUUCAUAAACAUGUAGAUCAUCAAGAUUUUGUUAUAUAUAUUUGUGAUAUAUUUUCGUUACAAAUACAUUCAUUCAGGCGUGAACAAUAGUAGUGCUUUUGGAAAAUGAAAUUGCAUCAUUACUUAAGAACAUUGACCUCAGGCGGUUACUUGUUUUUAACAUGUCUUUAUAUCCGUUUAGAUGUUCCCGAUUCCCCAGACAGUGGAGCUGCAUGGACUGGAAUAAGAGCACAGGCUGACGCAGGCACCCAGAGACUUGAGUUUUACUCACACAGUGGACAAACAGAAGAAUCCGCCGUUCGAGAGGUUUCGUCAUAUGACAGUUUCUAGAAGAAUGGCUCUGGAGUGAGAUGCGGGCUAUUCAAGGUCUUCUACGACCACGACUGCGUCUGUAGCGCUUGUCCGGGCGGGCUACCUAUCUGAAAACUCCGACUUCCUACCAGCUUCCAUCACUGUUUCCAGAUUUAAGAACGAGGCACCCCAGCAGUCGAUACUGAACAGUGGGUAGUCACACAAACAACAUCACUCACAGUUGAAGAUGUAUGAGAAUACUGAAAAUUUAUUAUAAUUUAGCCAUUAGCCCAUGGUAUUCCAUUUCCUUAUUAAUGUGUAAAGAAGAGGUAGGAUAUAUUUUAAAAAAGGG
rnacentral:lncRNA from 1 species